UACGUAGGGGGCAAGCGUUGUCCGGAUUUAUUGGGCGUAAAGAGCGUGUAGGCGGCCAUGCAGGUCAGCUGUGAAAACUCGAGGCUCAACCUCGAGACGUCGGUUGAAACCGUAUGGCUAGAGUCCGGAAGAGGAGAGUGGAAUUCCCGGUGUAGCGGUGAAAUGCGUUGAUCUAUAGAGUACCACCAAAAGGCGAAGGCAAUUGACUAUUCCAUUUCUGACGUUGAGGCAUGAAAGCGUGGGGAGCAAACCGG
rnacentral:rRNA from 1 species